rnacentral:pre_miRNA from 1 species
UUGUGCCCAAGUCUGGAAAGAUUCUUAGUCAUUCGCAUUUAAAAAGUAUAUGUAUUAAAUGCGAAUGACUAAGAAUCUCUCCAGACCUGGAACACAAAAU